CAAGAGGUUAGUUUGGAGCUGCAGCCAGCAUGCUGUGUCUACGAAUACAGCUCUGUAUUCUACUUUUGUUGUCAGGACUAAGUACCGAGAAGAACCGUGUCACCCAAAGACAAGGACAGCUGACCGGGGUACAAAAUGACUGUGUCACACUGGGCUGUACUUUCUCGACUGAAGAUGCAGGUUAUGACAUAUACUGGUACAAACAGGGCAGCAGCGGCCAGACGAAGUACCUCUUCCGAAAGUCUGUCGGGAGAGAGCACAACGGGGCUGGGAGCCAGUUCUCACUGGACUUCAGGAGAGCCGAGAAAUACGUGGGUCUGAAAAUCACUGAGUUAGAACUGAGCGAUUUGGCGAUGUAUUUCUGUGCUAUAGCUGAGAGGGCCUUAGGUUACCAUGGAGGGUGGGUUAAUAGAGGGGCCUAUGGAAAAUCCAGUGAUCAGUUUUCUCUUGACUCGGAGACAAAACUGGGGCAGAUAGAAAUCAGUGUAAAGAGACACAACAAGCCUCAAGCAGGGGUUUGA